CUCGUCCAGCGGUGGAUUGACAACUAGUCACGCCAACGGGGCUCGCACCUCGUCAACGGAAGGAUCGCGAAAGAUGGUUACAGCUUGGGUGAGACGUGGUGCGGGGAGGGGCGAACGAGGCCUUCGUCCAGCAGCGGAUCGACCACGGCUGAUGAUAACGAUGAUGACGAUAACGACAGUGACGGCUAUCAAGCACGAUGGCCCUGGCGACGACGAUUUACAUCGCGCCAACGCGGGCGGCAGGCGUGAAGGAUUGAUUGCGGCCCUGGCACUCGGCGUGAGGAUUCACUGCCUAGACACGUCAACAUGUUGGCCUUUGCACGGCCGGGCCACGGCGGCCUGAGGAUCUCGUGGAAACCAUAACGACGUGAAGAUUGAAAGAAUCCUGGCAAAAUCCCGCCGACGCGUCUCCAUCGCCACCGACGCCGGCACAAACCGCCACGGCGCUGCAUCCCGGCUGAUUUUCGCGGCAGAGCGACUCACAACCUCAUCCUCCUCGUCGUCCUCGUCGUCCUCUGUACAUCGAGGAGCAGGAGACCAUGGAUACUGCGAGGCAUCGUCUCUCCGUUGCAGCCCCCGCCGUCUGGAACGCCAUCCUGCUGCACAUCGACCUACGCUGACUUUGGAGAGACGUUUAAAGGCCAACCUCUUUCUUCAAUGCCCCACCUCUUAUUUAAAGGUCCUCACCUCUUAAAGGCUCAACCUCUUUCUUAAAGGUCCACCUCUUUAUAUUCUUGGUUCUUUCGGGUAAAGUCGCGUAGAAGGGAAAUAAUAAAAUAAUGAAACAUAUUUCCCUUCUACGUGACUUUACCGAAAGAACCAAGAACAUGAAUCCCUGCAGUCACGAAAGCUUUAAAUGAAAUCCCACCUCUUUCUUAAAGGCCUACCUCUAUCUUAAAGGCCCCGCCUCUUAAAGGUCCACGUUUUUCUUAAAUUGCCCCACUUCUUUCUUAAAUUGCUCCACCUCUUUCUUAAAGGUUCACGUCUUUCUUAAAGGCCCCGCCUAUUUUACCUGGCUUUCAAGCAACACUGCUCCUUGGCUCCAUGACCCAAGAGUUGCGGUCACUUUUGUCCGAGAGAUAUUGUGUGCGUUUAUAAUUUGCAUUCCUAUUACAUACUACGUAACACAAUUUUUGUUCCUGGAUAGUAAGUGUUAUUUCGUAAUUGCUUAUGCCUAAAAAGUAUAGAAAAUGGCUAUUAUUCCCCACAAACUUUGCUUUUGUGACCAGGACAGUGAUAUUUUGAAAUGUACCUAUUUUUUUAUGAGAAAACUGGCGAAUUUAUGUCACAUAAAGUCAGAAAAAAACAACAUAUGAAUCAAAAUUUACAUGUAUUUAUACUGAAUUAAAACAAAAAUGACGACAAAAGAUUUAGAAGUGAGUAGUUUUUCGAGAUUUACGAUUAUACUGUAAAUACCUUUCACGAAUCAGCCCCCCAAAUGUAGUUUCCCAUCAUGUUCUCGUUAUACUGUCCUUGGUAGCAGCGUUCAAAGUCCAGUAUAUCCUGGUGGAAGCACUCGCCUUGCUCCUCCGAGUAUGCUCCCAUGUUCUUGAAUUUAUCAAGAUGAGCAUCAAGGAUAUGGACUUUGAGAGACAUCUUGCAGCCCAUUGUGCCGUAAUUCUUCACCAGUCUCAACCAGCUCCACAUCGUUUUCGACCUCGUGAUUGCCCAGGAAGCCACGAACCACUGCGACAAAGCUGUCCCAAGCCACUUUCUCCUUACUAGUGAGCUUCUUGGGAAAUUCAUUGCACUCCAGGAUCUUCUUUAUCUGUGAUCCGACAAAGACACCGGCUUUGACCUUUGCCUAAGACAGCUUAGGGAAGAAGUAUUGAAGGUACUUGAAGGCUGCCGACUCCUUAUCUACAGUUCUGACAAAUUGUUUCACAAGGCCCAAUUUGAUGUGCAGUGGUGGCAUCAACACCUUCCAG